rnacentral:ncRNA from 1 species
UAGCGCCGGAGCCAAUCGGCUGACGAGGCAGGGGGUUAUCGAAAUUUUCGGCGGAUGCCCCUUCGUAUUAUCUUUGAUACGUUAUGAAAAGGCAAAACUAAUCGGAAACGGUUUCGACAAAUUCU